GAUGAACGCUGGCGGCGCGCCUAACACAUGCAAGUCGAACGAUUAAAGCACCUUCGGGUGUGUAUAAAGUGGCGAACGGCUGAGUAACACGUGGGCAACCUGCCCCUUUCAUUGGGAUAGCCACGGGAAACCGUGGAUAAUACCGAAUACUUCGAGACUUCCGCAUGGAAGACUCGAGAAAGCUCCGGCGGAGAGGGAUGGGCCCGCGGCCUGUUAGCUUGUUGGUGGGGUAACGGCCUACCAAGGCAAUGAUGGGUAGCUGGGUUGAGAGACCGACCAGCCAGAUUGGGACUGAGACACGGCCCAGACUCCUACGGGAGGCAGCAGUGGGGAAUCUUGCACAAUGGGCGAAAGCCUGAUGCAGCGACGCCGCGUGCGGGAUGAAGGCCUUCGGGUUGUAAACCGCUUUCAGCAGGGGCGAGGCGAAAGUGACGGUACCUGCAGAAGAAGCCCCGGCUAACUACGUG
rnacentral:rRNA from 1 species